UUUCAGCGACUGUUUACUCAUUGCGUGUAUCACUCGGAAGCAAUCGUGCGGAAAAUAGCAUUCAGAAUCGUUCCAGUUUUUUAGGUAAAGGUUCAAACGGUAUGUGCGAAUGUUAACUUUUGCGAUUUGAUAAGCUGUGUUUUGAUUGGUCUGUCCGAAUGCUAGGUUUUGUUAGACUCAGUUUAGCAGUGUUACGAAUAAUACUGAGCCUAAGUUUACUUAGACUGCUAUCCUGCAUACAUCUGUGAAAAUAUUGUGACCCUUCUGAUUGGUUCAUAUGGAAAGGUUAACAUACAGAUUAUUGUCCAUCAGCUUUUCCGAUGUGUAUGUAUGGAUAGGUUAACAUACAGAAUUUUGUCCUUCAGCUGUUCCGAUGGGUAUGUAUGGAUAGGUUAACAUACAGAUUAUUGUCCAUCAGCUGUUCCGAUGGAUAUGUAUGGAUAGGUUAACAUACAGAUUUUGCUCCUUCAGCUGUUGGUUUUAUCUGUGUCAGUCAUCUAUAACAGAUUUGCCCUCAUGAUUUAGCCCUGGAUCCGCAGUAUUGUGAUGUGUUUUGUGAAUGGUUUCAAAUUGUCAAAAUAUAUUCAUGCACAUAAAGCUAUUCCUUGCA